rnacentral:misc_RNA from 1 species
GAUGAAAGAACGUAGCGAAACGCGAUAAGUAAUGUGAAUUGCAGAAUCCAGUGAAUCAUCGAAUCUUUGAACGCACAUUGCGCCCGCCAGCAUUCUGGCGGGCAUGCCUGUUCGAGCGUCAUUUCAACCCUCGACCUCCCCUUGGGGAGGUCGGCGUUGGGGACCGGCAGCACACCGCCGGCCCUGAAAUGGAGUGGCGGCCCGUCCGCGGCGACCUCUGCGCAGUAAUACAGCUCGCACCGGGACCCCGACGCGGCCACGCCGUAAAACACCCAACUUCUGAACGUUGACCUCGAAUCAGGUAGGACUACCCGCUGAACUUAAGCAUAUCAAUAAGCGGAGGA